rnacentral:sRNA from 1 species
UAAGUUCGGCAUCAAUAUGGUGACCUCCCGGGAGCGGGGGGCCACCAGGUUGCCUAAGGAGGGGUGAACCGGCCCAGGUCGGAAACGGAGCAGGUCAAAACUCCCGUGCUGAUCAGAA